CUUGGUGCUGUGUGUGGGCAGCGUCGGUGCAUGUGCUUUUGUCCCUCACCAAAGCUGACCAGACAAACCUUUGGCUGAGUGGAGUGUCUGUCUCGGUCCUCUCAGUGGGGGCUACAGCGGAGAAGAGGGAAAGGAAAAGAAAAAAUCAGGGCCUCAAAAAUGAGGUGGGGGUGAAAGAAAAGAAGCUUGGAAAAAGAUUGCGAGACACCCUGAGACUGGCAAAAAAAAAAAAAAAAAGACAGUGGCCACUUCACACAGAGGUCCCUUUGUGGCCCGGGAAAAAGUCCAACACUGGCUCAGACGGGCCCAAAAGAGAGGCCCUCAGCUGUUCACAGUACAGUCAGCCGUGCCCCCGUCCGUCUCACAUGGGACAGCGCUCUGUCUUUUGGACACUAUGUCAUCAAGCUAGUCAUUCAUCCGGACGUCAAUAAGUGCCAAUCGGCGAGAGGUUAUGUGGGGUUUGCACGCGCUCCCCCGAGGAGAAAGCGCCAGCCGUUCUGAAUAACCUCACGCCGAUGAGCUUUUUUUGAUGCGGCGCCAAAAAGUCUGAGUCUUUGGGCGACAUUGGGUAUCUUGCCCAUCGAUCCCCAAACGAAACAAUGCUUGCAGGAACUUGCGUCUGCACUUUUCUCCAUUACAGAUAGAUUGGGGAAGGGCAGGGGAGGCUAGUCUGAGCUUCCAAAGCAUAAACCUGUUAUUUAAAAAAAAAAAAGUCUGAAGCCUUCAAAAUUGUGAGGUCCUUUCAGAUUUUGUUCUCAAACAGAUUGCUCCCCCCAGAUCUUCAUCUGUUUUUCAUCGCCAACUCAAACCGUAUUGUCACUGGUUUAUGAAAGACAUGUGUCUAUACACACACACACACACACACACAAGUCACAUUCUUGCGGAAACUGUACCGUGAGAUUCAUCGCACAGCAUCAACCGCGCAACUAUCAUUCAUUUGUCUGAUCAUCAACUUUGCAACAAAAAAAAAAAAAGCCCGAUCCCAACCCGGAGGGGAGAAAUCGGGAGAAAAUCUAUGCCGAGAGACUGAAAGAACUACAGAAUGACACUAACAAGCCUGAAUGCUCCAAAUUUUGCCAUGUCUCUGAGCACAUUGUGAAAAAAAGCGCCUCAAUUGAGAAGCAAAGAAAAAAAAAAAAAAGCCCUGCGUGACGGAGCCCCAGCGCUGGCCCAGAGCCUGGCCCGGCCCGGCCCGUUUUUGUUUGUAAUUACUGUUUGAUUAAGCAUGCUGGGCAGCUCUGCUGGGCAGCUCCCAGCGUCCGGCUGGCAGGCCACUGAUACGCGGCUCGACACGAAACGUCUGCGACCUCCCUUACUCCUUUCUCGCCCUUUGGCAGAAAUGGUUUACGCGGCCCGUCUUGGAAAAUAAGCGCUAAUCCAAUGGCGAUAUGUUAGCCGCGGGCAGGGCAAGCGCGUUCCCGCUCCUCACAUAAAGACAACACCAUCAUCUUAAAAGCGCUCGUGAAGCCUCGUUAUGGACUUCUCCAAAGGCACUCGGGUUUUACAAGAGAGACCAGACGCGUUAUUGGCCAGCGGGGAAUCGAGACGGGAAGCAAAGAGAGGACGUACGCUGAAGCGUGAAACCAGCCCACCCUGUUUAAUGCUGAGCACGGCGCAUCUUCUAAUUGGCAAAUAUUUGCUUUUUUCUUCAUUUAAAGCAAAAGUGUCCAACUCAUUUUUUGUGGCGGCCCACAUUUGAGUUACAGUUUCCCCUCGAUGAAAUGAAUGGGUGUGGAUAUUAUCACAUCCAACAAUUGUCCAGCAAUUUUCCAAUUUAUUUUGAAAUUGGGAUUAAAACAAUCCAAUAUCUCACUGUUAUUAAAAGAAAAGACAAUCUAGAGUUUGGGCAUUUUAACAAGAAACAUCGAGUUGACACUCGGGUUUUUGCCGGCCACAUAAAAUGAUGCGGUGGGCCGGAUCUGGCCCCCUGGCCUUGACUUUGACAUCUGUGUCCCAUCUGAGCGACAGAUUUGCGGGCCUUAUCCUAAAGAUGUGGCCGUUUCAGUAAUUGUUUUGAAUGUCCAUCUUAACCGUCUCGAGUUGGACAGACAUACAUUUUUUUUCCCCCAAAAGCUAAUGCAUUAACCAAUACUUAAUUAAGCCAGGAAGUGGACAUGGAUGUGGCAGUUAAAGCUUGUGUUAUUCAAACGGGAGCUCCAUGUCUUACGAACAAAAUGACAAGAAAAUAUGUUGUCAGAAUCAGCAUAAAGUGCCCGCAGGCGCGCUAUAUUUAGCCCAACCGGUGUAAGUCUGCACGACAGGGGUGUAUCUUCUCCAAGCCUCAGACAGCGAGCACGUUUGCGACGCCGGUGUCAAGCCCACGGCCGCCGCCUCCCACCCCCUGGUUGCCGCCCCAGACAACUCAAGUGGUGUUUUGUCUGCUGGGCCUCUCGAAAGGCACGUGAAAUUAAAAAAAACGUCAGCUGUGUCCGGCGUCCGCAAAUGUCGGAUGUCUUUGAAAGGCGUCGGACAAGUGGCUUAAUUAUGCGUCUUCCACUAAAUAGCACGUCAUUCAUCAACGCUCUCUUCCAUAGAGAGGAGAAGGACUCUUCAGCGUUGUCGGCGUUGCACGCUAGUAGCUAAAGUUAGCGAACGUUGUGGCGAGAGAGAAAGAGCCAAUAAAAAGCUUGCGUGAACAUUCACAGGGUGCUUGGACACAAUAUGAUGUUUUAUUCGUAGAGCUUCUGGACUGAUCCGCUUUGUUGGGAGACAUUACUAAGUGACAAAUAUCCGCUUCAAAGGUAUUCUUUUAUUUAUUUUUUUCCUACAAGUGCUAACAAUAAUGCGUCAACACCGGCGUUUGCAAAUGUGGAUCUUUUGGUAAAAAUAGACAGCUCCAAGUCAUUUCGAUGUCAACUGGCAAUACAUAUCUGUUGAAAAGAGCCCGCCCGUAUGGGAUGCAACAAAGCGGCCACAAAAGGAGCUAGCGCUUCCAUCCUGACGGUAUGCGUAAUGUGAGAUUGGAGAUGACCCUCACGCCAGCUGCUUCUUGUUCUCUUGGCCACGCCUGUUCCCACACACACACACACACAUGAGCCGGCAACCUGAGAUUUGCUUCCACGCCCAAUCCAUAAUUGGCACGCUUUUUACACUUCAAAGACGUUGCAGAGGUGGGAACCGGCCAAGGUUGUUGAGUGAGGCUCCGGGUCUGGCUUAAGGGCGCGAGGGGAGUAUCGAGUGUUGGAAGGAGAAACACGAGGCUAAGCGAAGCAACAGUAAGAGCGCAGAGGACGCGGCGCUCCCAGGUCUUGGCCAAAACUCCGUGAGGUCCUUGGGUAGUAGCUCGCUCGUCCCCCUGGUAUUUUCUGCCUUCAUCCAACUUGGCCGCCCGUCAUCUCAGAUGAAUUGUUUUCUUGGACGUCGUGAGGCCGAAAUAUUUUCGAGGCGUUUUUCUUUCCAUUUACGUUUGCUGCAAAAAAUCCUUAAAAUGUCCCGAACUUAUUUAUCUAUUUAAAAAAAAAAAAAAAAAAAACACUCAAUCUGCAAAUGAAAUCAGCAAGAAUGUUGAGAGCAGAUAAAGUGGCUUUGAAUUUCCAGCGUGUGGGAAAAGCAUUGCGGGAAAUGUGAAGUGUAAAUCAUGCAAACAAUAUGGCUGAAGGACACUUUGCGUCUGUCACGCAUCGACAGUGUUUUGUUUUUUUUCUCUUGAAUUCAGCCUCGAUAAGCUUCCUCAGCUAUGCCUCGAUAUCUACUCUUUUUAGAAGCAAACUCUGACAAUCAUGGUCAUUAAUGGCAGAUUGAACGUAACCAAUCAGGUUUAAAAGGAGGCCAAGGUUAUCCAAGUGCAAAAUAACAAAACGCUCCAGUGGACAGGAAGUCAGAUUUGACUUGAAAUGCCAAAAUAAGGCCAAACAUCUUUGAUUUCAUGCAUGCUUAGAGCACUGAGAGAAAAAAGAAAAAAACACAUUGUCACUUGACCAACACAAACAUCCACGCAGCCAAAUAGCGGCGGUUUACGCAAACGGCCCCUGCCGAUCCCACCCGGAGCAUUGAGGGUUACCGGCUUUCGGCGUUGUACUGGAGCCCCCCGUGCUCUUUAUUUGACACGCGGCCCAGAGGUGUCACAAAUAGCGACACGCUUUUACGUGACGGAGACUUUAGCGUGGCCGGCGCCCCCACCCGCUCUUAAGCUCUGCAUUCUGUCUGCGCAGCCAGCCAGGUAUUGUCGGACGGCCGGCCGGCCAACCAGCCAGUGAAUAGUGUCAAACUCGAUGCUUCUCAUUUUGCUUCCUGUACGUGGCAGAAGAAAGAAAAAGUAGCCAGCCAGCCAGGGUGUUUUUCCUUUUGUAAAGGCUGCCGCCUAGUCCUCCUGGGAACGCAGCGCAUUCCAGCCACGUCCGUAUUGUGGCCCGCAGUGUGCCGGCCGGCCGGGCCGAUAACCUCGUGAGUGCGAGCGAGCGUAGUCCCAGUCUAGACUGCUACCUGCUUACAGUGGCCCAUAAUGAGCUAAGAGCGUUUCCAGUGCCUCUGUUUUUCCCUUAAGUGUCUUUUGAGUGAGAUGCGAUUCAAGCGCCACUCAGCGUACUAUUUUUCUUACGCUUGAAUGGUGAAAGCUGAGUGUUGGCAAACUUCACACUCUUGCUGCUAGAGAAGAUUUGUUAUUGUCAGUUGAAUGUCAAGAAAAUGCAUUCCUAUUCCUAAUUUUUACUUAUUUUUUUUGUCAGGGAAUUUGAAUAUCAACCACCCACACUAAUGAUGACGUAUAUUCCCGAUCAGGAUGUACAUGCUCCGCCUAUUUUUUUUUUUCUUUCAAUCUAUGUGGCCUUGCAAGGCUGCCCCACCCACCGCCAGAUUAUAGAACUGUACUCGUAGGCAAAGAGCGACACACGUACUCUCAUGUCUGUAUUAUACUGCCCCCCCACCCCCCUGGUGGCCAAGGGGUGCACACCAGAAGGAGCAGCGCAAUCCCCAUUGAAGGGAAGGAAAAAACUUCUUUACAUUCUAUUGAAUUGAGUAAUUGCUGUUAUGACAUAAAAAUAUUCUGGAGUGCUGUUUUUCUUAUUAAAAGAAAUCUUUUUUUGGGGGGCGGGGAGAAACUGAAACAAAUUAAUGGCCUUUCCAUUCAUUUCGAUGAGAAAAGAUGAUUUGAGGUCCCAGUGUGGUCUGUCAGAAAACCUUGUUCACUAAUAACCUAAUAAUGUUACUGCUAAGAGACAAAAAUAAAUCACCCCCCACGCCCUUGUUAGAAAAUCUUUUUGUCCAAAAAAUGCCCCAUGUGACUGCUGAGAAGCAAACCGUGGUAUGUUCUUGGAUCCUCGUCUUAUCCACACACAAUCGCUACUUAAAUCCAGCCGACAGCAACGUUGUUUGGGUUUCUCCGACGGCUUCCCGACUUGCUUCAAAAAAAAAAAAAAAAAAAAACAUUGGCGUCUUAAUUUAGUUGCAC